UUAGUAGUUUCUUACAACCUUUUAUUUACUUACAGUUUAAAAACGGAAGGAAGUAAAGAAAAGUUGAAAAUUAGUAGUUUCUUACAACCUUUUAUUUACUUACAGUUUAAAAACGGAAGGAAGUAAAGAAAAGUUGAAAAUUAGUAGUUUCUUACAACCUUUUAUUUACUUACAGUUUAAAAACGGAAGGAAGUAAAGAAAAGUUGAAAAUUAG